rnacentral:rRNA from 1 species
AUUGAACGCUGGCGGCAGGCCUAACACAUGCAAGUCGAGCGAGCGGCGGACGGGUGAGUAAUGUAUGGGGACUGCCCGAUAGAGGGGGAUAACUACUGGAAACGGUGGCUAAUACCGCAUACUGUCGGAAAACCCAUAUGGGAUUAGCUAGUAGGUAAGGUAAUGGCUUACCUAGGCGACGAUCCCUAUCUGGUCUGAGAGGAUGAUCAGCCACACUGGGAAGGUGACACCGCCCAGACUCCUACGGAGGCAGCAGUGGGGAAUAUUGCACAACGGGCGCAAGCCUGAUGCAGCCAUGCAGCGUGUAUGAAGUAGGCCCUAGGGUUGUAAAGUACUUUCAGGCGGGAUGCGUUACCGACAGAAGAAGCACCGGCUAACUCCGUGCCAGCAGCCGCGGUAAUUC